rnacentral:rRNA from 1 species
CGAAUUCGCCCUUCCUACGGGAGGCAGCAGUGGGGAAUAUUGCGCAAUGGGCGGAAGCCUGACGCAGCGACGCCGCGUGGGGGAUGACGGCCUUCGGGUUGUAAACCUCUUUCGACCUUGACGAAGCCUUUCGGGGUGACGGUAGGGGUAGAAGAAGCACCGGCCAACUACGUGCCAGCAGCCGCGGUAAUACGUAGGGUGCGAGCGUUGUCCGGAAUUAUUGGGCGUAAAGAGCUCGUAGGCGGUCUGUCGCGUCGGUCGUGAAAACUUGGGGCUUAACCCUGAGCUUGCGGCCGAUACGGGCAUGACUGGAGUUCGGCAGGGGAGACUGGAAUUCCUGGUGUAGCGGUGAAAUGCGCAGAUAUCAGGAGGAACACCGGUGGCGAAGGCGGGUCUCUGGGCCGAUACUGACGCUGAGGAGCGAAAGCGUGGGGAGCGAACAGGAUUAGAUACCCUGGUAGUCCACGCCGUAAACGGUGGGCGCUAGGUGUGGGGGCCAUUCCACGGUCUCUGUGCCGCAGCUAACGCAUUAAGCGCCCCGCCUGGGGAGUACGGCCGCAAGGCUAAAACUCAAAGGAAUUGACGG